rnacentral:rRNA from 1 species
AAUUCGAGGCAACGCGAAGAACCUUAUCCUGGGUUUGACAUGGUCGGAUUAGUUGGCCGAAAGGUCAAUGACGCCUUCGGGUGGAACGAUCACAGGUGCUGCAUGGCUGUCGUCAGCUCGUGUCGUGAGAUGUCGCGUUAAGUCGCUAAACGAGCGCAACCCCUGUCCUUAGUUGCCAACACGUCAUGGUGGGGACUCUAAGGAGACCGCCGGCGUCAAGCCGGAGGAAGGCGGGGAUGACGUCAAGUCCUCAUGGCCUUUAUGCCCAGGGCUGCACACGUGCUACAAUGGGGCGUACAGAGGGAAGCCAAGCUGCGAAGCGGAGCAAAUCCCAGAAAGCGUCCCCCAGUUCGGAUUGCAGGCUGCAACUCGCCUGCAUGAAGCCGGAAUCGCUAGUAAUCGCGGGUCAGCAAUACCGCGGUGAAUGUGUUCCUGAGCCUU